GAUCACGCAAUCACGUGUACGACACCGCACAGAAACAAUCGUUUUAAUUUCAGUAUUGUUUUCCAUCAGUGGAUGUUCAUGCAGUCCAGAGCAGCACCAAGUAGUUUGAUAGAAGAGCAAGAGAUUUAUUUAUUAGAUAUUGUUACGUUGCUUUCCAUCAGUGGAAGUUCACGCAGAGCAGCACCAAGCAGUUUGAUUUCUAUCAAACUCUUCUGAGCGACAGCUUCAUUUAUUAGAUACAUAAUGUUACGUCAUUCUUUAUCAGUGGAAAUUCAUACAGUGCAGAGUAGCAUGGAGCAGUUUUGAAGAAGAAAGAGAUAGAAAGAUA